GAAAAGAAACUAACCAGGAUUCCCUCAGUAACUGCGAGUGAAGCGGGAAAAGCUCAGACUGAAAAUCUUCGGAAUUGUAGUCUGGAGAAGUAUGGUCAGCCGAUAAUGAUGGGUAAAGUCUUCUGGAAAGGAGCGCCAUGGAGGGUGAUAGCCCCGUUCAUACCUAUUAUUAGAAGCGUACGACCUGCUUUCUACGAGUCGAGUUGUUUGGGACUGCAGCUCUAAGUGGGUGGUAAAUUCCAUCUAAAGCUAAAUAUUGGUGGGAGACCGAUAGCGAACAAGUACCGUGAGGGAAAGAUGCAAAGAACUUUGAAAAGAGAGUUAAAUAGUACCUGAAAUUGCUGAAAUGGAACCGAUGGGAGGCAGUGUCGGUGGCGGAUACUUGUAUCUGUCACAA
rnacentral:rRNA from 1 species